rnacentral:rRNA from 1 species
UAGAGUUUGAUCCUGGCUCAGGAUGAACGCUGGCGGUAUGCUUAACACAUGCAAGUCGAACGGGACUCUUCGGAGUUCAGUGGCGGACGGGUGAGUAACGCGUGAGAAUCUGGCUUGAGGUUCGGGACAACCAUUGGAAACGGUGGCUAAUACCGGAUAUGCCUAAGGGUGAAAGAUUAAUUGCCUCAUGAAGAGCUCGCGUCUGAUUAGCUAGUUGGUGGGGUAAGAGCCUACCAAGGCGACGAUCAGUAGCUGGUCUGAGAGGACGAGCAGCCACACUGGGACUGAGACACGGCCCAGACUCCUACGGGAGGCAGCAGUGGGGAAUAUUCCGCAAUGGGCGAAAGCCUGACGGAGCAAUACCGCGUGAGGGAGGAAGGCUCUUGGGUUGUAAACCUCUUUUCUCAGGGAAGAUAAUGACGGUACCUGAGGAAUCAGCAUCGGCUAACUCCGUGCCAGCAGCCGCGGUAAUACGGAGGAUGCAAGCGUUAUCCGGAAUGAUUGGGCGUAAAGCGUCUGUAGGUGGCAUU